rnacentral:rRNA from 1 species
GACGAACCGUGCGAACGUUGUUCGGAAUCACUGGGCUUAAAGGGCGCGUAGGCGGUCUGUCAAGUCAGGGGUGAAAGCCUCCAGCCUAACUGGAGAAGUGCCUUUGAUACUGGCGGACUCGAGUGAGGUAGGGGUAGUGGGAACUUCCGGUGGAGCGGUGAAAUGCGUUGAUAUCGGAAGGAACGCCGGUGGCGAAAGCGCACUACUGGGCAGUUUAGCUGACACUGAGGCGCGACAGCGUGGGGGAGCAAACAGG